UCCGUAGGCGGUGCGGCAAGUCGGGAGUGAAAUCUCUGGGCUUAACCCAGAGGCUGCUUCCGAAACUGCCGCGCUAGAGUGUGAGAGAGGCGAGUGGAAUUGCGGGUGUAGCGGUGAAAUGCGUAGAUAUCCGCAGGAACAUCCGAGGCGAAGGCGGCUCGCUGGAUCACAACUGACGCUGAGGGACGAAAGCUAGGGGAGCAAACAGGAUUAGAUACCCUGGUAGUCCUAGCCCUAAACCAUCAGGACUUGGGGUUUGCCCUGUACGGGGCAAGUCCCGUAGCUAACGCGUUAAGUCCUGCGCCUGGGGAGUACGGUCGCAAGGCUGAA
rnacentral:rRNA from 1 species